rnacentral:rRNA from 1 species
GACGAACGCUGGCGGCGUGCUUAACACAUGCAAGUCGAACGGAAAGGCCCUGCUUUGUGGGGUGCUCGAGUGGCGAACGGGUGAGUAACACGUGAGUAACCUGCCCUUGACUUUGGGAUAACUUAAGGAAACUGGGGCUAAUACCGGAUAGGCGCUCCUGCUGCAUGGUGGGGGUUGGAAAGUUUCGGCGGUUGGGGAUGGACUCGCGGCUUAUCAGCUUGUUGGUGGGGUAGUGGCUUACCAAGGCUUUGACGGGUAGCCGGCCUGAGAGGGUGACCGGCCACAUUGGGACUGAGAUACGGCCCAGACUCCUACGGGAGGCAGCAGUGGGGAAUAUUGCACAAUGGGCGGAAGCCUGAUGCAGCAACGCCGCGUGCGGGAUGACGGCCUUCGGGUUGUAAACCGCUUUCGCCUGUGACGAAGCGUGAGUGACGGUGAUGGGUAAAGAAGCACCGGCUAACUACGUG